rnacentral:rRNA from 1 species
CAGGCCUAACACAUGCAAGUCGAGCGGGUAGCAAUACCAGCGGCAAACGGGUGCGUAACGCGUAAGCAACCUGCCCACUACUGGGGGAUAGCCUUGCGAAAGCGGGGGCAAACCCGCAUGGUCCUUUUCUUUCACCUGGAGGGAUAGGUAAACAUUUAUGGGUAGUGGAGGGGCUUGCGUCUGAUUAGCUAGUUGGCGGGGUAAGGGCCCACCAAGGCGACGAUCAGUAGGGGUUCUGAGAGGAUUGGCCCCCACAUGGGUACUGAGACACGGACCCAACUCCUACGGGAGGCAGCAGUAAGGAAUAUUGGGCAAUGGAGGCAACUCUGACCCAGCCAUGCCGCGUGCAGGAUGAAGGCGCUCAGCGUUGUAAACUGCUUUUAACUGGGAAGAACGGCAGGGGUGCGCCCCUGUGUGACGGUACCAGUGGAAUAAGCACCGGCUAACUCCGUGCCAGCAGCCGCGGUAAU